rnacentral:rRNA from 1 species
CCUACGGGUGGCAGCAGUGGGGGAUAUUGCACAAUGGAGGAAACUCUGAUGCAGCGACACCGCGUGAGGGAAGACGGUCUUCGGAUUGUAAACCUCUGUUUUUGGGGAAGAAAAUGACGGUACCCAAAGAGGAAGCUCCGGCUAACUACGUGCCAGCAGCCGCGGGAAUACGUAGUGACCGCGCGUUCUCUGGAAUUACUGUGGGUAAAGCGAGCGUAGGCGGGCGGGAAAGUUGAAUGUUAAAUCUACCGGCUUAACUGGUAGCUGCGUUCAAAACUUCUUAGCGUGAGUGAAAUAGAGGCAAGCGGAAUUCCGAGUGAAGCGGGGAAAUGCGUAGAUAUUAGGAGGAACACCAGUGGCGAAGGCGGCUUGCUGGGCUUUAACUGACGCUGAGGCUCGAAAGCGUGGGGAGCAAACAGGAUUAGAUACCCUAGUAGUC